GUGCUCACUGUGGCAGCGUAUAGACUAAAAUUGGCAUAAGGGAAGAUUGGCGCGUCCCCCGUGCAAGGAUGACGUACAAAUUCAUGAAGCAUUCCAUUUUUUA
ensembl:snRNA U6 U6 spliceosomal RNA